GUUUCACAUAUUUAAAUCUGAAUUAUAGAAAAAAAUGGAAUGUUGUUAGCAGAAUCGAAACAGAAAAUGAUGAACACUUGAUUAUUUUCAGCAAUACAUAAAUUGGAUUGAGGGUCUGUGUAUUCACAUUAUUUGCAAAACUCUCCUUAUUCCUGUGAAGCGUGUGCUUUACAUCGAAGCUUGCUAUGCUUUAUAUCAGGGGCG
rnacentral:lncRNA from 1 species